rnacentral:rRNA from 1 species
GUGGUCAAGCUAAUAAGGGCUCAUGGUGGAUACCUAGGCACACAGAGGCGAAGAAGGACGUGGUUACCUGCGAAAAGUUCCGGGGAGUUGGAAGCAAACAGAGAGCCGGAAAUAUCCGAAUGGGGCAACCCUGAACACUGCCUGUUGAAUAUAUAGACAGGAAAGAGCGAACCUGGCGAAUUGAAACAUCUUAGUAGCCAGAGGAAAAGAAAUCAAAAGAGAUUCCCCGAGUAGUGGUGAGCGAAAGGGGAAGAGCCUAAACCAAGGGGUAUACCU